UAUGUGAUCGUCUCUCGCAUAUCAAUAAGCGGAGGAAAAGAAACUAACAAGGAUUCCCCUAGUAACGGCGAGUGAAGCGGGAAGAGCUCAAAUUUGAAAUCUUAAAGGGUUUCCCUUUACGAAUUGUAGUUUAAAGAAGUGUUUUCUGUUGAGGUUUUGGUAAAAGUUCUUUGGAAUAGGACAUCAUAGAGGGUGAGAAUCCCGUAUUUGACCUUUACUUUCAACUUUGUGAUACACUUUCAAAGAGUCGGAUUGUUUGGGAAUGCAGUCCAAAAUGGGUGGUAAAUUUCAUCUAAAGCUAAAUAUUGGCGAGAGACCGAUAGCGAACAAGUACCGUGAGGGAAAGACGAAAAGAACUUUGAAAAGAGAGUUAAACAGUACGUGAAAUUGUCAAAAGGGAAGCGUUUGACACCAGUGUUGUUUUUCUGAAAAUCAAUUAAAGAACUGUUUAUGCUAAGCUGUUUAGACUUUAUCAGCUAAUCUGUUUAGUUUUGAGCUUUUCUUUAAUGCACUUUUCAGUUAACAAGUCAACAUCAAUUUCUUUUGCUGUAAAAAAGCUUGAGGAAGGUGGCUUGAGAUUCGUCUUAAGUGUUUAUAGCCUCUUGCCUAUGCAGUCGGAGAGAUUGAGGUCUGCAGCGUAGAUCCUUCGGGGCUAAAUGCAUUUGUGCUAAGUUAUAGCAUUUUAUAGACAACUUGUUGACUAUGAUUUGUCUUGUAGCUUACUCGCUUAUGUUAUUUUACCUACGCUUAGGAUGUUGAUCUACAGAGCGAGAGU
rnacentral:rRNA from 1 species